rnacentral:rRNA from 1 species
GAUGAACGCUGGCGGCGUGCCUAAUACAUGCAAGUCGAGCGAACAGACGAGGAGCUUGCUCCUCUGACGUUAGCGACGGACGGGUGAGUAACACGUGGAUAACCUACCUCUAAUACUGGGAUAACUUCGGGAAACCGGAGCUAAUACCGGAUAAUAUAUUGAACCGCAUGGUUCAAUAGUGAAAGACGGUUUUGCUGUCACUUAUAGCUGGAUCCGCGCCGCAUUAGCUAGUUGGUAAGGUAACGGCUUACCAAGGCGACGAUGCGUAGCCGACCUGAGAGGGUGAUCAGCCACACUGGAACUGAGACACGGUCCAGACUCCUACGGGAGGCAGCAGUAGGGAAUCUUCCGCAAUGGGCGAAAGCCUGACGGAGCAACGCCGCGUGAGUGAUGAAGGUCUUCGGAUCGUAAAACUCUGUUAUUAGGGAAGAACAAAUGUGUAAGUAACUAUGCCCGUCUUGACGGUACCUAAUCAGAAAGCCACGGCUAACUACGUG